UAGAGCAACGAAUCAUAAAGAUAAGCAAAUCAAAAGAAAAAAAGAAAAAAAUCUGACCCAUAAUAACUUUACUAUUAUAAUUUCAUCUAUAAAAGCUUACAUGGGAGAUGGAUAAAUUUCAUAGCAUACGAAAAAAAUAGAGAUGCCAAUUUCCAAAGGGUGCUUUCUUUUCGUGCUCCUCGCUCUUUCCAUUGCUCUCACAGUGCCGAAUGUUGCUGCAGACGAUUGUGCAAAUGUAUGGUGUGUAGCAAACCCUAAGGCGAACCGUGAUGCACAGCAAAAAGACAUUAAUGUGCUGUGUAAUACGAUGGACUGUAGCCCAAUCAAAUCAGGUGGGGCUUGCUUCGAACCGAACACCGUAUUGGAUCACGCUUCCUUCGUCUUUAACACCUACUUCAAAGACCGGGCUUGCAACCCGUCGACAUGCAACUUUGGAGGCGAUGCCACAAUAACCAAAACAA